GUGCCUUAUUGCAAACAGGAUGCAUGUUUUGGAAUAUUUGUAUUCUGUACAGGCUUCCUUCUUUUCACUCUGUAAUUUAGGUUAGUAUUGUGGAGUAACUACAAUGUUGUUGAUCCAUCCUCAGUUUUCUCCUAUGACAGCCAUUAAAUUCUGUAACUUUUUUUAAAGUCACCAUUGAUUUCAUGGUGAAAUCCCUGACUGGUUUCCUUCCUCUCCGGCAACUGAGUCAGGAAGGACGCCUGUAUCUUUGUAGUGACUGGGUGUAUUGUACUUAAUAAUUUCACCAUGCUCAAAGGGAUAUUCAGUGUCUGCAUUUUUGUAUUUUUACCCAUCUACCAAUUGGUGCCCUUCUUUGCAAGGCAUUGGAAAACCUCCCUAGUCUUAGUGGUUGAAUCUGUGUUUGAAAUUCACUGCUCGACUGAGGGACCUUACAGAUAAUUAUAUGUGUGGGGUACAGAGAUGAGGUAGUCAUUCAAAAAUCAUGUUAAACACUAUUAUUGCACACAGAGUGAGUCAAUGCAACUUAUGUGAUUUGAUAAGAGAAUUGUUAAUCCUGAAAUUAUUUAGGCUUGCCAUAAAAAGGGUUUGAAUACUUAUUGACUCAAGACAUUUCAGCUUUGAAUUUUUAAUGAAUUAGCCAACAUUUCUACAAACAUAAUUCCACUUUGACAUGAUGGGAUAUUGUGUGUAGGCCAGAGACAACAUUUCAAUUUAAUCCAUUUUAAAUUCAAGCUGUAAAACAACAAAAUGUGUAAAAAGUCAAGGGGUGUGAAUACUUUCGAAAGGCACUAUAGCUAUUCCAUUAUAUUGUACACCCCUUUAACAGCCUUUCCUAACAGUUAAUAUCACAAUUGUAACCAAAUGUUUGCCAUAGUUUACCAUUGUACUGUAAACCAUGAAUGAGAGAGGGCUACUGUAUGUAUGUUGCAAAUAAAACAUAGAAUAAACUGAAAUAUAUGAAAGGUGGAAAUACUGUAUCAUUAGCCAGUAGGUAACAGAUAUUCUAUAAUUACGAUAAAAGUUUAUCGGCACACGACUAGAGAAGCCAUGCAGCUUACCUGGGCUCUGGGAUGCUUUUAGUCCAGAUUUUCUUGCCUGGCAAAUGCCCUGAUACAGCAGUAGAACUAUCCCUAGAGUAAGUCUGUGAUUGUUUGAUGUGAGCAUCGCUCCCUCAACCUGCCAUACACAUUUAGUCCUGUGAGCAUCCACCUGCUGCCCCCACCACUGAUACCAAUUUAAGACAUUGGCAAAGGCAGUGAUAUCAGUGGCAUAGAACAAAAUGGCCCCGCCACUUCUGUGUGUGCCUAGCUACCAGAUGAAUCCUGGAGAUUUCUGUGAAAUUCUGGUAAAAAUAGUGCCAGCCUGCUCAGUGCCAUCCCCGCCCACUCUGCAUGUUACAUGGAGUGGCACUGGUUGGGAGGGAGGACAGUCAGUAUGGUGGGGGUUUGGGAACCUGUGAACAGUUGGGAGUUAUUGAUGUGGAAAAUUGGUCAGGGAGCAUGCGUCACUUGUGUCCACAUGGAAAUAGACAAUGAGUUUGUGAUAACAAAUGGCUCCAUUCUGACAACCAAUGACCCUCUCUGUCUGUGUCAAAAACCUACAACUAUAGCUUACGCCAACUAAGAAUCAAGGCUCUCGAAGGAGACAUUUUGUUUCUGUUAAAACUCUGGUAAGAGCUAACUGGAUCUUAUACUUCAGCCAAAUACAUUCAUACCCAGUUUGUGUGUGUAUAGAGAGGUACACCGUGUGUCAAGGUUGGCUAGGGAUCCAGAGUGUUCUGUGAUAUCCAGACGGACACGGCUGUAAAACAGAGCAUUGCAGGAAAAAGCUAUUUCCUGGAACCCUGGCUUUGCGCUGGCCGAGCUAUUAUCAGCAGUCUUUCUGGCACAGGCAGGAGGGGACUAGUGCCUGCUAUAACAACAAGACCGCCACCAAAAAGAAUAUGAAGUGCCAGUACUCACAUAUCCCAUGUCCAGACACUCAAACUUGUUGGCUGAGCUGAGGAAGGCUGAACGAACCUUGGAGAGGGCAUCAGUGAGGGUCAGCGGUCAACCACACUGGAGGGCUGGUGAAUAAUUAACUGUCCAGAGACAGUAAUGCUGCCGUCCAGUGGCCCCCAGGCUGUAGCUUCCUGCUCCACUAGCUGUGAUGGACUGCUCCCAGAAAACACUUCAGAGGUUAUCUACACACAUUUUUCAUGUAACCACGAACUACAGCCGUGGAACGAUGAGUAUUGUUUGAAGCAGUCUUCACUCUGUUUGCCUUGCCAUUCUUGUUUUAACUGUGUACUGUAAAGUCUCUCUCAUGGGGCCAAAUGGAAACUGGCCUACACCAGGGUUCUGGCAUAGAAUGGCUACAAUACUUUCUUAGUGGUAAAUUAGGUUUGUUAACCCUGUACAAUGUAAGGCACUUUGAGACCUUGGGGAAAUUGCUAACUUCAAUCCAUGCCUAACAGAUUGCCUAUCCAUUGUCUUUAUGGGAUCAACGCAACCGUUUCAAAGCAAAGUAAUGAAGUACCUGUGAGCCACUCGCAACAGCAUUUUCUUCCUCUCUUUCCUGACAGAUGAGAGCAGAGAAACAGUUAACCACAAGAAAGAUGUGGCUCAGUUGGUAGAGCAGGAAUUUGCAAAGCCAGGGUGUGGGCUUGAUUCCCACAGGGAACCAGUGCGAACAAAUAUGAAAAUGUAUACACUCACUACUGUAAGUCGCUCUGGAUAACAGUGUCUGCUAAAUGACUAAAAUGUAAAAUGGCUGUGGGCUAUGACGUUGUCUGCUAGUAGUAGGCCUACCGUGAAAAAGACUGUGGUCCUUGUUUGCAACCCUCCAUUUGAGCAAAUAACUGUCUGGGGAUUUAACUUGUAGUGAGUUUUCUCUAAAAUGUAAAUUUGUGGUACACAUUGUCUUGUAAUUGUACCAGUAAGUGUUUGGUUUAACUCCAUUCAUAAAGUUUUUGUUGAGUGCAGAAGACCUUUCAAUCUUUCACAAAGAGAGCAAGAGAGACACCCAGUGGUUAGGCACCAUCAUCACAUAUUCAAAUUUGGAAUUAUAUUUAUUGUCUUGCACUUAGAUAGUUACAUUUCACAAUGUUUAUUUAAUACAUUCGUAUCUCAAUAACAACAUUAUCAAUAGCAUCUGUUUUUCUUUCAGGUGACCUGAAAAGAGUCCUUUAGUGAAGUUUUACCUGUAUACUGUUGAAGAGGUCACAGAUUGCGUUCUCCUCUUCCUCGAUAUUGGAGCACACCUCCCCUAUCAUGGCCCUCAGCAUGAUAAUAGCUUCACGGGCCAAUGUCUGCAGCGCCUUCACUGCCUACAGAGGAAGCAAGGCUCACACAUGGACAUGGUAGAUAUGCUCAUUCACCUGGAACUAACCUGUAGCUAAACCAAACACACAUGAUCAUAUGCUUUAUCUCAAACCCAAGACCCAGCCUGUAGUUUUCAAAAACAACAUAAGGAUCCUAUAUUAUGGCAUGUAAAAUACAGAAUGGAAACAAUUCAGAGUUACUACAUAGGCCAUGGAGUUGUGAGGACUAUACAGAUAAAACAUGGAUUUUCAGAGGGGGUGACUGCGAACCAUCGAUGUUAUAACACACAAUGUAUGAAGAGAAUAAAAGUAAAUCCACUCACCAGCACUGCCUGCUCUAGUAUCUCACAUCCUUCCCAGCUAGAACAUUUGGUUCCUUGGAAGUUGUGGGAACAAAAGUUUUUGGUUUCCCAUUGUUUCUGGGAACAAAGUCAUAAGUUUCCUGACUGGUAAAAUGGAAUGUUUUUUAAACAUUCUGAGAACGGAAGUGAACAUUUCGCCUGUUCUAUUUUUAGGUUGCAUAGAAGUUCUGAGAACGUUUUACUCGGGUUCGUUCUGGAAUGUUUUAUUUACUCUGGUUCCUUCUGGGAGGUUUAAUUAACGCUAUGAGAAUGGAAAUUAUAGGUUAUUGAUUUUUUUUUUUUAUAACGUCCUUAAAACUUUUACUGAAUGUUUCAAUAAGACUUUAAUAACACUGCUAUCUUAUUUUGGGUAAACCUUUUUUUUUACUCCAAGCACAGAUAGGACACAUGGAAAUUAAUUUCCUUCGGCAUUAAUCAUGCAAACACAUUUAUUCUUUAUUGUGACACUGCAUCAGUGAGAUUCAAACCUAUAAUCUUCUAUUCUCUAUCCAUGGAAUUAGUCCAUUGCACCACCAAGAUGGAGCUAGCAUACCAUGUUUGUUUUUACGCAUACAAAGCUGUUCAUUUUAGUCUAUUCAAACAGACCCCAUUUCAAAGGAAACAAGGACUCCUUAACCUCAGGUGUGGCCAAUUAGUGGGCGUUGCCAACACACCUGAACACACUGAACAAGAUAGAGGAUAGAGAGUUUUGUUGAUGCUGAGAACAGAAUGUUUAAGGUUUUUAAUAACAUUCUUAGAACAUUCUCUGAAUGUUACUAAAGUUUUCUUGUGGUUUUAUGGAAAGUUUACUUAACGUUCUUGGCACAAUUUGAGAACAUGACUUUGAAUACAACCAUGAGGAAACCUGUAGGAAACGUUACGCUGAAGUACUGAAAAUCCCACAGAAGAACUGAAGUACUGAAAUUCCCACAGAAGAACGUUGUUUCUUAACGUUCUUGGAACAAUUUGAGAACAUUAUUUUAAAUAGAACCAUGAGGAAAACUGUAGGAAAUGUUAUGCUGAAGUACUAAAAUUCCCACAGAAGAACGUUGUUUCUUAAUGUUCUCUGAACUAUUUCAGAACAUUCCCAAUGCCAAACCAAUUGGAGAAUGUUUGAAAUGAAACGUAACCAUGUUUGAACUUUUAGGAAACGUUCUGUAUAAAGUAAUGAAAUACCAAGCAAAUUAUGUUUCUUUGUCAAGUUCCUUAAAUGUGCUGAGAAUGUUCCAAAAGCCAAGCAACUAUCUUGCACCAUUCCCAGAAUGUUAUGGGAAGGUUGUAUGCAAAACAACCAUAGGAUAACCACACCCUCACCAAGCUCUAUGAAACAUAUGGUUCUCAGAAAGUGCUAGCUGGGUUGCAUGUAUUCUGUAUUCUGCAAUGUUAAUGCAGUAUGUCAGGCUCUCCCUGUGAAAUUUCAAAUUGAAUCAAAUUUUAUUUGUCACAUGCUUCAUAUUCAACAUGUGUAGACUAACAGUGAAAUGCUUACUUACGGACCCUCCCAACAAUGCAGAGAGAAAGAAAAUAGAGAAAUAAUAGAAAAGUAAAACACAUAAUAAAAGUAAUAAUAAAUACACAAUGAGUAAAAAUAACUUGGCUAUACAUGGUACCAGAACCGAAUCUAAGUGCAGUAAUUUGGCAGAAACAUAAAUGAGCUUUACUAACAGUGUUCCUCCUGUGUGAAUCUUGUGUUGCUGUAGUAGGACCUUCACUCACACUUGUAUGUCUCUGAAACACUGUCUCUGAAACACACUUGUGGAGAUAAACACCAAGUUAAACCAUCACAUCACUAUUCCUUUAAUACAUAUUUCAACGCAAUGAAUAGUAUUUGCUAAAUAUUCAAUAAAUAAAUAAUUGUUCUUAUGUAAGGUAUUUUCCCUGGAAAAUAAUGCA
rnacentral:lncRNA from 1 species